rnacentral:rRNA from 1 species
AGCGAACGCUGGCAGCAGGCUUAACACAUGCAAGUCGAGCGGGCAUCCUUGUGGUGUCCGCGGCAGACGGGUGAGUAACGCGUGGGAACGUGCCCUUCGGUUCGGAAUAACUCAGGGAAACUUGAGCUAAUACCGGAUACGUGCGAGAGCAGAAAGGUUUAUCUGCCGAAGGAUCGGCCCGCGUCUGAUUAGCUAGUUGGUGAGGUUAUGGCUCACCAAGGCGACGAUCAGUAGCUGGUCUGAGAGGAUGAUCAGCCACACUGGGACUGAGACACGGCCCAGACUCCUACGGGAGGCAGCAGUGGGGAAUAUUGGACAAUGGGGGCAACCCUGAUCCAGCCAUGCCGCGUGAGUGAUGACGGCCUUAGGGUUGUAAAGCUCUUUUCUCCGGGACGAUAAUGACGGUACCGGAGGAAUAAGCCCCGGCUAACUUCGUG